GAAGAAGAGAUGUUUUACAGAGUAACCAAAAGGCAGUAUCUGUUCACCUGGAAAGUCUAACCUGGGACUCAUAGGAUACACAGGAACACACUGAUAAACAUUUGAUAAAUGUUUCGUAAGAUAGGAUUUCACAAAAUGUUUUGCUAGCCUGCCACAAAAGACAUUAUUGAAGGAGACAUGCAGAGAACCAGUCUACCAACAAAACCAUCUCUGCUGGAAAAUGGAGGUGGUGGCAAGGGCACUGUGAACAACAGCACUCCUGGAGGAACACCGAAUUUUUCUAAUGGCAAACCAAAUCUUGAUGGCUUUGCUGCAAAAUCCCCCAUUUCGACCAUUUCAAUUGGAGACCAUACCAACCUGUACCACAGCAUGAGGCCUAUUUGUCGGAUUCGGCCAACCAGUGCUGUGAUCCAAGGAGGCUCUGUUGCUCACAUCAACCGUCUGCAAGGAGAACUUGUGAGGAAAAGGAAGGAAUGUGAAGAACUGAAGAAGCAGAACAAGUGCUUGUCAAAUGAGCUACAUCUGGAAAGAAUUGUUAUGAAAUCAGAAAAUGAGCUGGGUAUAAGAAACCUCAGAAAUAUGAACCAUAGUCUGCAAGCUGCUGUUAAAGAGGUAUUGAAAUAACUGGCUGUCUCCAUUUUAUUGUUUUAGGUGAACCUGAAAUUUUGGGCCAAUUACAUUGUACAGAAUAAAAUUUCUUUGUUGUGGCCUGGCUAUUAUACCUUUGUUAACACAUUCAUUGUGUGUUCAGAUUGAACUAUAAUCUGCUGUGAUAAUAAUUAGACUAAUUCCACACAGGCUGAUAUUCUCGCCUCUCCUAUCGCAUGACUAGGAUGAAAACAUCAGAAGCAUUAACUUCGAGUUCCAAUUUACACAGCUCAGUUUUCUGCUUAGAUUGGUUAUGGGUUCUGCUUUGGUCACAUGUCUGUUUCAAUGGUAAAUAACCUGCCUGAAAAAAAAUAAUAUGUAUCUGCCUAUAAAAUGAAAUUAAAAUGUACAAUUUUUGCCAAAUAUUUCUUCUUCAGCCUCUUCUCUUUGUGAUAGAAGUGUUUAAGUGGUCACUUUAGCUACAUCUGAAGCUUAAAUGAUGCUUAUCAUCUCAAACAAGC
rnacentral:lncRNA from 11 species